CAACCACAGCUGAAAAGUCAGACAGUUAAGGGCGACUGUGGAAGGUGGAGCAGUUGGGAAGCUCUCCCCAGUGGGGGGGGCUACACAGAGGCAAGGCUUCCAACCUCCAAGGAGAAAGAAAAAGAAUGGCGGUAAAAGUGGCAGGAAUAAUGUGAUUUUGGCGGGUAUCACGAUAAGGACUCCAAAGCCAGCAGCAGCGCAGUCGUCCUCUGACAGCAGGGCUUUCAGGAUCGAACGGGGACAGGAGGGAGCCUGCCCAUACCAAGAGGGACUCAUCCUGAAAAGCUGUUUCUCUAGAUCAAAACUACUCUUCACUACCGUGCCAGUGAGUUCCUGGAACAAUUAUUUUACACCAUUGAACUGGAGUUUUGAAGAAGCCCAAGACCGAUUUGAGAAUAAAGAAUAAAU